AAUAGAUUUUUCUGCUAAUGUUUUGCAGUUGAUGGAAGGAUACGAACUCCAACUGAAUCCAAGUGUCAACGAUAUGGGAUAUGGCCGACAACAUGCUCAACCUCAGAGUGAUUUCUUUCAUCCCUUAGACUGUGAACCCACGUUGCAUAUUGGGUAUCCGUCCGAACAAGCAGUAUCAGUCGUCACUAAUUCAGCCCCAACCUUGAAUAACUACAUGUCAGGGUGGAUGCCAUGAUAAGAAGGGCAUGGCCAGACAUGGUUUGCUUCAGGCAUUCCUUCCAUAAGAAUCAGCAUAUUCAUCUUUUUUUUAUGUCCUUUUGAUGAAAGGAACAUUUGUAAUGGUAUGUAUUGGUGUGGAACUAUGCUUUUAAUUUUUAACUGUCUACAUGUAGUGUGUGCCCAAGUACUGCUCUUCCUUCUUUCAGCAGUUGCAUAAGAUGUUUGAGAAUAAUUAACUGUGGUUUGCGUAUCAGAAUUAGACCAGCUAACUAUUCGUAUA